rnacentral:tRNA from 1 species
GCGGAAGUGGCGGAAUGGCAUACGCGUACGGCUCAGGACCGUAUGGGUUAAUACCCUUAGGAGUUCAACUCUCCUCUUCCGCA